AGCCGUGCGAUAAGCACAUAGUGAACUUUCGCCUUUUACUAAAGAAUACCGUGGGCUUGUCGUACCAAGCGGCAUACACCUAUUUUUGGAGAGUUGUCUGUCUCAUAUGAGAU
rfam:Brassica rapa chromosome A10, whole genome shotgun sequence.